AAGUGACCGCCAACGGCUCGUUACAAUGGCCAUUAUUUACUUGAUCUUGGUUGUCUAAAUGGAUAACUGUGGAAAAGCUUCAGCUAAUACAUGCACUAAAGCUUUGUCCUUACGGAAAAGCGCAUUUAUUAUAACAAAACCACGCGGCUUCGGCUGCUUCUUGUUGACUCAGAAUAACUUAACUGACCGCAUGGCCUUGUGCCGGCGGCGUGUCUUUCAAGCGUCCACUUUAUCAACUUGACGGUAUCAUAAUCAACUCCCGGGGUGGUGACGGAGAACGGAGGAUCAGGGUUCUACUCCGGAGAAUGGGCCUGAGAAAUGGCCACUACGUCUACCGAUGGCAACGAGCGCGCAAAUUACCCACUCUCCGCUCCCCGAAGUAGUGACGAUAAAGAACAAAACUGUUCUCUUUGAGGCCGGUCAUCCGAAUGGGUACAAUUUAAACCCUUUAACUACUAUCAAGCAGAGGGCAUGUCUGGUGCCUCCGGCCCCGGUAAUUCCAGCUCUUCCAAUACAUAUAAUUAUUGCUGCGGUUAUAAAGCUCAUAAUUGGAUUCGUAGCAAUACCUUGGAACCCUUCCGGUGUCUCUAGGUGUUAUCCAUUUAUCGUAAUGUUCUCUUUUGACUCCUUAACACGAUUCUUAACAGGCAUUGCAAGUUUACUUUGAACAAAUCAUAGUGCUUCAAACAGGCGUUUUCGCUUGAAUGAUCUCGCAUGAAAUAAUAAAAAAUGAUUUCCGUUCAAUUUUAUUGCUUUUACGGACUGAUAUAAUGGUUAACAGAUACAAACGAGGGCAUUUGUAUGGUCCUCUGAUAUGUGAAAUUCAUGGAACAUGCCCAGACUAACUACA
rnacentral:rRNA from 1 species